rnacentral:rRNA from 1 species
AUGGUUUCAAAAAAAGUAGCUAUGCACAAAUGCAAGAAAGUCUACACGACCUGCCUGCCUCUCUUAAAUAUUUUCUUCAAGUGGUUUCUUUAUAGCUGGGUAUAUAUUGCAGUUGACAAAAGAAGAUGUAUUUGCAGUUGCUUGCCACUCUGGAAUGUCGAGGUGUUGCCUGACCUUCUCAAAUGUCAGCCACCAAGUCCUAGGUGGUGUUCUCCUCAAGACAAGCAUGGGGAGUGCUCUUCCAGCGCCUCACUACAAUCAAACAAACGCAAAUUAAGCAUCGCAGUCUCCUCGGAACACCGGUCUCCAGGUGGUGUUCUCCUCAAAAUAAUGAACAACAUGCACUGCAUGACAACUAGAGUAUAUGUAUUUCCCUCAAUAGUGAACAAUUAUCACAUAGAACAAGAUACCAUUAGAUGA